rnacentral:rRNA from 1 species
UGAAGUCGGCAGGUACAGUGCCGAUAAGGGUAAAACCGGUGACUGGGGCUAAGUCGUAACAAGGUAGCCGUACCGGAAGGUGUGGCUGGAACACCUCCUUU